AAGGCACUCACCAAAUGAGAAACACUCAGUUGGGUAUAAAAAUAAAAGAAUAAAAGAACUGAGUAACAAAACUGAAAAAGAAAAGAAUUGGAAAUGAUAUGUAGAACAAACACAGUGAAAAGAAUAAUGACAUUGGCUCUGAACCCAAACAACUUAUUUUCCCUUUUGUUUGUAUUUACCCCACCGUAACUCAAGCCCUGUUACAACCCGAAA
rnacentral:lncRNA from 1 species